rnacentral:lncRNA from 1 species
ACAGUCUGAGUGAUGACGAGUACUUAGUACGAUCUAUAAUUAAAAAGAAGAGAAAACAAACUGAUGAGAAUGAAUUGUUACAAAAUGUUGUAGAAGAGGAAAAUGAAGAAGAAAAUGUAUUACCAUGGAAAAUAAAUAAUAAAAAAAAAAUAUUAAUACAUUAACAUUUAUAUUACUAUUAAGAGAUAUUGAAAAGUAUAUAGCACAAAACAUUUAUUAUUAUGAACAAUUAAUUUAUAAAAAUAUUUAUUUAAAUUAUAUUAAAGAAAAAAAGAUCGAUAUGUGUAACAAAAUAAAAAUAUUCGAUGGUGAAAAUUAUGAUCCUCUUACUAAUAAUAGUAUUAGUUAUAAAAAAAAAAAAAUUAUUAUAAAAAUAAAAAUUCAAAAGAAUUUUAAAAAAUUAAUAAAUUUUAAUAAAAUUAACAAAGUAUUAUACAAAUUGAAUGAUAUAGAAAAAAAUGAAUCAAAAGUAAUGGAUGCUCAAAAAAAUAUGGAAAAAUUAGAUUACACUGCUAUGACUAAUUUAAUAAAAAAAAAUCUAAUUACUUUAACUAAAAAAAAAAAAAAAAAAUUACAAAAUAUAUUCGAGCAAAAGAAUUCAAAAACAAAAUCAGAAAAGAAAUUAAAAAAAAAUUAAUAUAUAAUAAAAAUAAACUAGAUAAACAAACAGAUGUAGAUGGAACAACUGGGAUACCUGAUACAAUGAAAAAUGAUUACAUAAUUGGAAAGGAUCCGAUGGGGGUAGAUGUUGGUCAAACAAGUGGUAAUACGUAUCAAUCAAAUUCUAAUACCAUAAACAAAGGUAACACCCUUUUUGAUAUAAUAAUUGAAGAAAAAAGUAAAGAGGAAAAAAUAAAGAAGAUCAGCUCGUUAAUUAUCGACGACGUUUUUAACAAAAUAAACAAUAAUAAAAGUAGGAAAAGUAGCAGAAAUAGUAGUAAUAGUAGUAGUAAUAGUAGUAGUAGCAACAAUAAUACUAUUAGCACUGGUACCGGUACUGGCACCGAAACACAUGCUAGCACUAAUUUAAACUACGUCAACACUAACAAAAGUAAUAAUAACAUGAAUAACACAACAAAAGCAAAAAAAGCUUUCACUUUGAUAAAUGAAAACUCAGAAAAAAGUAAAAUAUCCCACUUUUUAAAAAAAAAAGCAAGUUUUACUUCUGUUAAUGGUAGUAUAAUUAAACUAAAAAAAAAAACAAAAGAAAAUGAUGGUGGUGAUAAUUAUUUGUAUACAUACGAUAGUAACAUUAAUAUUGACGGGUUACAUUAUAAAGAUAACUUAGAAAAUGUGAUAAAUGAUGAACAAAGAGAAGAUAAAAAAACACGUUAUUUAUAUAAUCAUAAAAUAAAACAAUAUUUAAAAAAUAUAUCAAUAAAUAAAUUAUUUCUUUUUUAUUAUAAAAAAUUAGAAAAAAAUGUAACAUCUAUAGAUACCAACUAUUUUUAUGAUGAUUAUAUUACAGCUAGUUAUUCUAAUACAUUAGAUAUAGGUACUUAUCAAAAUAGUAAAGGAAAUAUAGCUGUAUUUAGUUUUAUAAAUCCAACGUAUCCAUUACUUUUGUAUAACCUAGAUUCGAGUGUUAUGAAAAUUAAAUAUUCUAACAAUAACCCUAAUAUAUUAGUAGCAGCAUUAGCAAAUGGACAUAUAUACAUUUAUGAUAUAAGAACCGGCACAAAUACUAAUACUAUCAGUUAUAGUAACAAUAAUGGUAACACUGCCUCUACAACUGCUACUGCUACUGCAACUACUAAUACAGACACCUCUUUGGAUAACGAAGAAGCAAAAAAGGAUGGGGAAGUAAAUGAUACAAAGACAGAUAAAAAAUAUAUUAAAUCUAUAUCUAAAGAACAAGAGCUAUUAAAUCAUUAUACAAAUGUUACCGAAAAUAUUACUGAAAAAAAAAUUAAACCAAUACAUUCUUAUUACUACUUGGGUAAAGAACUAUUCAAUAAGG